UACGUAGGGUGCAAGCGUUGUCCGGAAUUAUUGGGCGUAAAGAGCUUGUAGGCGGUUUGUCGCGUCUGCUGUGAAAUUUCGGGGCUCAACCCCGAACUUGCAGUGGGUACGGGCAGACUAGAGUGUGGUAGGGGAGACUGGAAUUCCUGGUGUAGCGGUGAAAUGCGCAGAUAUCAGGAGGAACACCGAUGGCGAAGGCAGGUCUCUGGGCCUGUACUGACGCUGAGAAGCGAAAGCAUGGGGAGCGAACAGG
rnacentral:rRNA from 1 species